AUAAACCUGAUCCUGGGGAUUUGCAACAUUGGUGCUCCUAUAAGACAGAUUGGGAUUCUGCUUAUAAGGAUUGUAUCCCUUAUUGUAUCCACCUUGGUUCUGGACAUAACUUAUCUCCUCAGAUUGUUCUCCCUCCCCAUUCAGAAUCUGGAAAGGGUCGUCUUCAGAGACGAAAUGGAUGUUCCUCUGCUGGCUCAUCAAUAGCUUGUCCAACUUAUCAUUCACAGCUUUCAUCUCCUUCUUGUACUUCUCAUCAAGAUCUGUGCUUGCCC
rnacentral:lncRNA from 1 species